rnacentral:rRNA from 1 species
GGGUGGUAAUGCCGGAUGCUCCGASWUGACCGCAUGCGUSCUCUGGGAAAGAUUCAUCRGUAUGGGAUGGGGUCGCGUCCUAUCAGCUUGAUGGCGGGGUAACGGCCCACCAUGGCUUCGACGGGUAGCCGGCCUGAGAGGGCGACCGGCCACAUUGGGACUGAGAUACGGCCCAGACUCCUACGGGAGGCAGCARUGGGGAAUAUUGCACAAUGGGCGCAAGCCUGAUGCAGCGACGCCGCGUGCGGGAUGACGGCCUUCGGGUUGUAAACCGCUUUUGACUGGGAGCAAGCCCUUCGGGGUGAGUGUACCUUUCGAAUAAGCACCGGCUAACUACGUGCCAGCAGCCGCGGUAAUACGUAGGGUGCAAGCGUUAUCCGGAAUUAUUGGGCGUAAAGGGCUCGUAGGCGGUUCGUCGCGUCCGGUGUGAAAGUCCAUCGCUUAACGGUGGAUCCGCGCCGGGUACSGGCGGGCUUGAGUGCGGUAGGGGAGACUGGAAUUCCCGGUGUAACGGUGGAAU